GGCUCUGUAGUGUAGUGGUUAUCACUCAAGAUUCUGAUUCUUGGAACCCCGGUUCGAAUCCGGGCAGGGCCU
rnacentral:tRNA from 1 species